CAGGUUGAAGGUUGGGUAACACUAACUGGAGGACCGAACCGACUAAUGUUGAAAAAUUAGCGGAUGACCUGUGGCUGGGGGUGAAAGGCCAAUCAAACCGGGAGAUAGCUGGUUCUCCCCGAAAGCUAUUUAGGUAGCGCCUCGUGAAUUCAUCUCCGGGGGUAGAGCACUGUUUCGGCUAGGGGGCCAUCCCGGCUUACCAACCCGAUGCAAACUGCGAAUACCGGAGAAUGUUAUCACGGGAGACACACGGCGGGUGCUAACGUCCGUCGUGAAGAGGGAAACAACCCAGACCGCCAGCUAAGGUCCCAAAGUCAUGGUUAAGUGGGAAACGAUGUGGGAAGGCCCAGACAGCCAGGAUGUUGGCUUAGAAGCAGCCAUCAUUUAAAGAAAGCGUAAUAGCUCACUGGUCGAGUCGGCCUGCGCGGAAGAUGUAACGGGGCUAAACCAUGCACCGAAGCUGCG
rnacentral:rRNA from 1 species